rnacentral:tRNA from 1 species
UCCCUGGUGGCCUAGCAGUUAGGGACCAGCUUUGUCACUGCUGUGGUUCAGGUUCAAUCCCUGGCCAGGGAC